rnacentral:sRNA from 1 species
UCGCAGUGGGUUUUAGUCUUUUUUGAC